rnacentral:lncRNA from 1 species
AAUAGGAGAUUUUGGCUUUGGCAUGCUCAGUGUCCUUACGAGUGCCUCAGAACCCUUGGGUAAGCCUGUAGUCAAGAGGUAAAUGCGAGUAAGAACCAACGACAUGAGAAUCAUAGACUAUGGAAUUGUAGAUAAUGGAGAUUGGUGUAUACCAAAUUGAAACAGACCAUUGACACCAGAGAGUGAUGACUUGAUGCCUUGUUGCUCACUUUCAGAUGAUUGAAGAAAUUCUUCAAACUGAGCUUCCAUAUUCAAAAUAUCCUCAUCGACAUCAAGAUCAAUGUUUUCGGGAAGCAAGUCAGC